rnacentral:rRNA from 1 species
AGAUUGAACGCUGGCGGCAUGCCUAAUACAUGCAAGUCGAACGGGAGUAGCAAUACUCUAGUGGCGGACGGGUGAGGAAUACGUAGGAAUUUGCCCUUAAGUGGGGGAUAACCCGGGGAAACCCGGAUUAAUACCGCAUGACCUCGAAAGAGCAAAGUGGGGGAUCGCAAGACCUCACGCUUUUGGAGAAGCCUACGUCGGAUUAGCUAGUUGGUGAGGUAAUGGCUCACCGAAGGCGACGAUCCGUAACUGGUCUGAGAGGAUGAUCAGUCACACCGGAACUGAGACACGGUCCGGACUCCGUACGGGAGCAGCAGGUGGGGAAUACGUUGGACAAGUGGGCGCGAACGCCUAGACUCCAGCAAGUCGCCCGGUGCGUUGUAGGAAGGUAACGGUCC